UACGUAGGGUGCAAGCGUUAUCCGGAAUUAUUGGGCGUAAAGAGCUCGUAGGCGGUUUGUCGCGUCUGCUGUGAAAACCCGAGGCUCAACCCCGGACUUGCAGUGGGUACGGGCAGACUAGAGUGUGGUAGGGGAGACUGGAAUUCCUGGUGUAGCGGUGAAAUGCGCAGAUAUCAGGAGGAACACCGGUGGCGAAGGCGGGUCUCUGGGCCGUAACUGACGCUGAGGAGCGAAAGCGUGGGGAGCGAACAGG
rnacentral:rRNA from 1 species